CAUGUACUCCCUCCGUUCGGAAUUACUUGUCGCAGAAAUGGAUGUAUCUAGACGUAUUUUAGUUCUAGAUACAUCCAUUUUCGAGACAAGUAAUUCCGAACGGAGGGAGUAGCUG
rnacentral:pre_miRNA from 1 species